rnacentral:rRNA from 1 species
ACGCUAGUACAGGUCGGUGCAUGGCUGUCGUCAGCUCGUGUCGUGAGAUGUUGGGUUAAGUCCCGCAACGAGCGCAACCUUACCCUUAGUGUUUUCCCGAAAGGAGUUACCCUCUAAGGGGACUGCCCCGGACAACCGGGGAGGAAGGUGGGGAUGACGUCAAGUCCGCAUGCUCCUUACGUCUAGGGCUACACACGUCCUACAAUGGGGUCGACAGUGGGAUGCAAAGCCGCGAGGUGGAGCCAAUCCCCAAACGGCCUCUCAGUUCGGAUAGUAGUCAGCAACUCGACUACUUGAAGUCGGAAUCGCUAGUAAUGGCGGAUCAGCAUGCCGCCGUGAAUACGUUCCCGGGUCUU